GACGAACGCUGGCGGCGUGCUUAACACAUGCAAGUCGAACGGAAAGGCCCUGCUUUUGUGGGGUGCUCGAGUGGCGAACGGGUGAGUAACACGUGAGUAACCUGCCCUUGACUUUGGGAUAACUUCAGGAAACUGGGGCUAAUACCGGAUAGGAGCUCCUGCUGCAUGGUGGGGGUUGGAAAGUUUCGGCGGUUGGGGAUGGACUCGCGGCUUAUCAGCUUGUUGGUGGGGUAGUGGCUUACCAAGGCUUUGACGGGUAGCAGGCCUGAGAGGGUGACCGGCCACAUUGGGACUGAGAUACGGCCCAGACUCCUACGGGAGGCAGCGGUGGGGAAUAUUGCACAAUGGGCGGAAGCCUGAUGCAGCAACGCCGCGUGCGGGAUGACGGCCUUCGGGUUGUAAACCGCUUUCGCCUGUGACGAAGCGUGAGUGACGGUAAUGGGUAAAGAAGCACCGGCUAACUACGUG
rnacentral:rRNA from 1 species